ensembl:lncRNA
CUGGGAGCCCUGCCACAAGGAGAACUGUGACAUGGAAAGAAGUGCCAAACUCCAUGGAGCUCACUAAGGACAAUGUUAUUGAAACUACAAGGAACUAAGUGCCCAGAGAGGAAGACGGUGGUGCACAGUGUAAAACCUCAAGCCAGAUGGUGUUUUCCUGCCUGCAGAGUGCUGAUUAGAUCUUAUCUGAGCACAGCUGGGAGCACACAAACAUGGCCCAAUGCUGUGCAGCCCCACUUGAGAUGUGCCCCAAGGGAAGUAAUAGCGGCCAAGCUGCUGAGAAGGCCAGCAAGUGGGUAUGCUGGGAGAUGCAAUGUGCAGAGAAAAGCGAAAAACCUCAGCUCAUUUUGGGAGUGGAAGGAAGGAGGCUGCAACUGGAAGUUGUCAGUUAUGGGCAUAGUGAGUUGGUGGGAACACAGGUUAAUUUCAUUUGGAAAUUCCUUUGGAGCAAUGGUGGGGUCUGCGCAGCUAAGCUUCUCAGUUGUUUCUCAUGCCAGACUUUUGUUUUAGUUAGAGACAUCAACCUAAUUCUGGAGGCUGAAAUCGGUUGAGGUGAAGGUCUAUGAUAAGGUGCAGGAGUUGCAGUAAGAUGCAAUCUGAUCAAAACAUCAGUGAUGUGGUUGUUCAGUCCAACUGCUUCUCUGCACCUCUACAGUGAGGAUUCUGCUGCUUAUCAAAAAGCAUGCAGCAAAGAUAAACCAAGACAAUAGCUAUGAUGUCAAAUAAUACAGAGUUUUCCAUGUUCCAAUAGGAAUUGCUACAAAAUCAAGGUGAGGAGACUCUUUUGGGCACCUGUUUGGGGCUAAGGUAUUUGUAGAGCAAACUGACCACAGCGGUCAUCACUGCUCCCAGCCCUGUGCAGGUGCAGGAGGUGAGUGAAGCAAAGAGCGGAGAGCUGGGAAAGGAACCCCAUCCAUGCUGAUGGGGGUUCAGUGUGCUGGGCAAAAUGGGUAUUGCUAAAUUAAAGGAACAGGGUUCAGUAAAGCAGCCUGGCUAUCCUUGCUUUCUAAGCAAAUGUAAUUACGAGAGUGUGCCCAAAAUGAACUUUAGUUUUCAAAGAACACAAAAUGAAGUUCAAUUCCAUUGGAGAAAGCCACCUGCAUUGUGGUGCAAGGCUUAGCAACAGCCAUUUGAUUAAAUGCUCUAUAGCAAGCUUUGAGGGGCUGUGGCUUUCAUAUCCGUUAGAUGAACACACAUUUCCCCAGCUGAGCUAUAGAUAGAGCUAUAGAGCUCCAAAAAAUGAGAUUCCACCUUCUGUUAAAAUGCUCUUUCUCUUAACAACUCCAUAUAACUCAUCUUCUGGAGUUCUCCUCCCAGUCUGCUCACAGCUCAGUAGACACAGAUUUGGACAGCUGGAAGAAUUACACCGGCUGGUGCUGGUGGCUUGAAAGUUGGGAAAUCCAUUAAAACUUUCCAAAACAUCUGCUUCUGCUAAACACUGGCAACUUUUGCUUUUGUCUCUGGCAGUGAAUGGUAUAUUUGUCAAGGCUCUAAUUGCAAAAUUGGACCGUUCCUUUGCUUGGCAACUCAAUUGGUAAUUCAUUUGUUGUGUAAAUGGAGAGUAGCUUGCAAAGAGACAUCACUGAUUCAGCCAUUGGACAGCUUUAGCUCAACUCCAUCACUAGUUUGCUGACUGCAGAAUGAGAUAAGCCUAGAUCCAACAGAUUGUCCCAGUGCCACACACCACGGAGUGUAGCCUGGGGCUACUCUGCAAGCAAAGAGUGGUCUUCUGAUCAGGAUUACCACCUCCAUUGCCCUCUAUCCACUCAACAAAUAGCUUUGUGUUCAGAUGUUGACCCUCUAUGCAGAAGGGCUGAACACAGAGCAAAGCCCAGGGCAGUCCUGCUGGCCUCCCUUGGGAGGAGAAGAGCUCCGUGCUUUCACUAAAGCAUGCACUGAGUUUGGGGUUUGAGUGUCAGGAAGCAUAGGGCAUGGCCUAAACCCAUGGCAAGAGCAUGUUUUAUGUAAAAGAACAAGAAUUUGGACUUGUGCAAGCUCAUGCUGAAGUGAGUCUUCACUUCCCUUCCAUGCAGCGAUAUCACCAGCUGAUGUGACUGAGGCACGGGGAGAUAAAGGCCAAAGUAAUCAAACACGUUUGCUAAUUUUGGGUGCUCAAUUUGCAACACCGGGGAUCAGAUCUUCCAGGGCUCUUGGCAUUUUACGACUAUUGUCUAACAAGCCUGCCUUCACAUCACAUCAUCUUGUCAAGAUUUUCAUCCUCCAGCUUCCUCUGUUCAUCCAGAUGAGAAUAAAACCAAGGAAGAAAAGUUGGCUGAUAUCUUCAAACCUUCUGAGUAAUAAAAGCACCUGGGGGCUUAGUGAGGCACCAGAUGGUCUUCAGGCAACUAACUGAAGGCUGGGAAUUCAUGUCUGGAUCAGCAUUUGCUUAUUCCACUUUAUGGAGAUAGUUAAAAACCCUUCAGCAAAUUAAG